GUGCUUGCUUUGGCAGCACGUAUACUAGAAUUGGAAUGAUACAGAGAAGAUUAGCAUGGCCCUGCGGGGAGGGUGACAUGCAAAUUCAUGAAAGAUUUCAUAUAAAA
ensembl:snRNA U6 U6 spliceosomal RNA